UGAAGUCCAUAUUGGCUCUACUUUUUUUUGUGUCCUGUGCAAAGGCUCUUGUCCACUAUGUGAAGCUUAAAAAAGGCAAGGAAGGUUGUCUAUCGCCAACUGGAGCGGAAAUGACGGUUUGGGGUAUGGUACAGGACGAUAAAACAUGUGGCCUUUAUCAUUGCCAAAAUAAGCAAGGGGACGCCUUGAUUCACUAUUGCCAAAUACCUGCGACAUUUAUGAAAUGUUUUUCCGAUGGAGUCCUUACCACAGAGGAUUUUCCACAAUGUUGUUGGAUGUGUUGUACUUUCGUGGCGUGUGACGGUGGCAAGGCUCGUGUAAUGCCAGGUUUAGAAGAAUUUCCCCCAGCUGGCGGAGAAAAUCCACAAAGUGGAGGAGAAAAUCCACAAAAAGGGGGAGACAAUCUACCUCCAAGAUCACCUGCAGAUGACGACCAAUUUGUUCCUCCAGAACCUAUGGGUUUUAUAACAGAAAAUCCUAUUAUUGUGGACUCUGUGCAAUUGGAUCGAGAAGGACAUCCGAUAGGCAGUAGUCGAGGACGAGCAUCAAAACCAGAGCCUGCAAACUCGAAGCAACUAUUUAAAUAUAUCUAAAUAAAUAAUUCGAACUUAAAUCAA